rnacentral:rRNA from 1 species
GAUGAACGCUGGCGGCGUGCCUAAUACAUGCCAGUCGAGCGAACAGACGAGGAGCUUGCUCCUCUGACGUUAGCGGCGGACGGGUGAGUAACACGUGGAUAACCUACCUAUAAGACUGGGAUAACUUCGGGAAACCGGAGCUAAUACCGGAUAAUAUAUUGAACCGCAUGGUUCAAUAGUGAAAGACGGUUUUGCUGUCACUUAUAGAUGGAUCCGCGCCGCAUUAGCUAGUUGGUAAGGUAACAGCUUACCAAGGCAACGAUGCGUAGCCGACCUGAGAGGGUGAUCGGCCACACUGGAACUGAGACACGGUCCAGACUCCUACGGGAGGCAGUAGUAGGGAAUCUUCCGCAAUGGGCGAAAGCCUGACGGAGCAACGCCGCGUGAGUGAUGAAGGUCUUCGGAUCGUAAAACUCUGUUAUUAGGGAAGAACAAAUGUGUAAGUAACUAUGCACGUCUUGACGGUACCUAAUCAGAAAGCCACGGCUAACUACGUG